UUUCCGUAGGUGAACCUGCGGAAGGAUCAUUAUUGAAAUAAACCUGAUGGGUUGUUGCUGGUUCUCUAGGGAGCAUGUGCACGCCUUGUCAUCUUUAUAUCUCCACCUGUGCACUUUUUGUAGGCCUUUCAGGUCUAUGCUGCUUCAUUUACCCCAAUGUAUGUCAAUAGAAUGUUGUGCCUAUUUAAUAUAUACAACUUUCAGCAACGGAUCUCUUGGCUCUC
rnacentral:misc_RNA from 1 species